UGUGGAUUUCUAAGAAGAGAGAAUGCCGGAAUGAGUAGCGAGAGUAUGGUGAGAAUCCAUACGGCCGAAUAUCCAAGGAUUCCAGGGUAAAGCUGAUCUGCCCUGGGGGAGUCGGGACCUAAGGCGAGGCCGGAAGGCGUAGUCGAUGGAAAACUGGUUGAGAUUCCAGUACUGCAAUCAGACAGAACUGUGGGGACACAGAGAGAAAGCCGGAGCCAGGAAAGGAAAGCCUGGUGCAAGCGGGGUAGGAGUCAGAUAGGAAAAACCGUCUGGCAAUCCGAAGACGUGAAGCGGAGCGAAAAAUAAGUAGCGAAGCCGGUGAGCUAGCUGUCAAGAAAAGCCGCUAUUGUUCUGAUUGUACCCGUACCGUAAACCGACACAGGUGGAUGAGGAGAGAAUCCUAAGGCCGGCGGGAGAAGCAUUGUUAAGGAACUCGGCAAAAUGACCCCGUAACUUCGGGAGAAGGGGUGCCAUAGAGAUAUGGCCGCAGAGAAAUGGCCCAAGCAACUGUUUAGCAAAAACACAGGUCUAUGCGAAACCGAAAGGUGAGGUAUAUGGGCUGACGCCUGCCCGGUGCUGGAAGGUUAAGGGGAGAUGUUAGGAAACGAAGCAUUGAACUUAAGCCCCAGUAAACGGCGGCCGUAACUAUAACGGUCCUAAGGUAGCGAAAUUCCUUGUCGGGUAAGUUCCGACCCGCACGAAAGGCGUAAUGAUUUGGGCGCUGUCUCGACAAUGCACCCGGUGAAAUUGAAAUACCAGUGAAGAUGCUGGUUACCCGCGCCAGGACGGAAAGACCCCAUGGAGCUUUACUCUAGCUUGAUACUGGGACUCGGUAUUGUAUGUACAGGAUAGGUGGGAGGCAGAGAAAUGGUGACGCCAGUUGCCAUGGAGCCGCUGUUGGGAUACCACCCUUACAGUAUUGGGUUUCUAACAUGCAGCCGUUAGCCGGCUGGUGGACAAUGUCAGGUGGGGAGUUUGACUGGGGCGGUCGCCUCCGAAAGGGUAUCGGAGGCGCCCAAAGGUUCCCUCAGAAUGGUUGGAAACCAUUCGAAGAGUGCAAAGGCAGAAGGGAGCUUGACUGCGAGAGGGACGUCUCGAGCAGGUACGAAAGUAGGGCUUAGUGAUCCGGUGGUAUUAAGUGGGAAUGCCAUCGCUCAACGGAUAAAAGCUACCCUGGGGAUAACAGGCUUAUCACUCCCAAGAGUUCACAUCGACGGAGUGGUUUGGCACCUCGAUGUCGGCUCAUCGCAUCCUGGGGCUGGAGAAGGUCCCAAGGGUUGGGCUGUUCGCCCAUUAAAGCGGUACGCGAGCUGGGUUCAGAACGUCGUGAGACAGUUCGGUCCCUAUCCGGCGCGGGCGUAGGAUAUUUGAGAGGAGCUGUCCUUAGUACGAGAGGACCGGGAUGGACUGACCGCUGGUGUAUCGGUUGUACUGCCAAGUGCAUGGCCGAGUAGCCAAGUCGGGCCGGGAUAAACGCUGAAGGCAUCUAAGCGUGAAGCCCCCCUCAAGAAGAGAUAUCCCAUUCUAUAAAAGAAGUAAGACCCCUUGAAGACGACGAGGUAGAUAGGGCAGAGGUGGAAGUGCCGUAAGGUAUGUAGCUGACUGUUACUAAUCGGUCGAGGGCUUGACCUG
rnacentral:rRNA from 1 species